rnacentral:rRNA from 1 species
UCUCCUGGAAACGGGUGGUAAUGCCGGAUGUUCCACAUGAUCGCAUGUGAUUGUGGGAAAGAUUCUAUCGGCGUGGGAUGGGGUCGCGUCCUAUCAGCUUGUUGGUGAGGUAACGGCUCACCAAGGCUUCGACGGGUAGCCGGCCUGAGAGGGCGACCGGCCACAUUGGGACUGAGAUACGGCCCAGACUCCUACGGGAGGCAGCAGUGGGGAAUAUUGCACAAUGGGCGCAAGCCUGAUGCAGCGACGCCGCGUGAGGGAUGGAGGCCUUCGGGUUGUAAACCUCUUUUGUUUGGGAGCAAGCCUUCGGGUGAGUGUACCUUUCGAAUAAGCGCCGGCUAACUACGUGCCAGCAGCCGCGGUAAUACGUAGGGCGCAAGCGUUAUCCGGAUUUAUUGGGCGUAAAGGGCUCGUAGGCGGCUCGUCGCGUCCGGUGUGAAAGUCCAUCGCUUAACGGUGGAUCUGCGCCGGGUACGGGCGGGCUGGAGUGCGGUAGGGGAGACUGGAAUUCCCGGUGUAACGGUGGAAUGUGUAGAUAUCGGAAAGAAACACCA